rnacentral:rRNA from 1 species
GACGAACGCUGGCGGCGUGCUUAACACAUGCAAGUCGAACGGUGAAGGUGGAGCUUGCUCCGCCGGAUCAGUGGCGAACGGGUGAGUAACACGUGGGCAACCUGCCCCUGACUUCGGGAUAACUCCUCGAAAGAGGUGCUAAUACCGGUUACGAAUCCUGCAGGCAUCUGCGGGCUUGGAAAGUUUUUCGGUCAGGGAUGGGCCCGCGGCCGAUCAGCUUGUUGGUGAGGUAGUGGCUCACCAAGGCGACGACGGGUAGCCGGCCUGAGAGGGCGACCGGCCACACUGGGACUGAGACACGGCCCAGACUCCUACGGGAGGCAGCAGUGGGGAAUAUUGCGCAAUGGGCGAAAGCCUGACGCAGCAACGCCGCGUGAGGGAUGACGGCCUUCGGGUUGUAAACCUCUUUCAGCAGGGAAGAAGCGAAAGUGACGGUACCUGCAGAAGAAGCACCGGCUAACUACGUGCCAGCAGCCGCGGUAA